rfam:Desulfobacteraceae bacterium CG2_30_51_40 cg2_3.0_scaffold_856_c, whole genome shotgun sequence.
GGAGUAGGACGGACGGCCGCUGCCCUGCCUUGAACGACAGGGGGGAGGAAAGUCCGGGCUCCGCAGGACAGGAUGCUGGGUAACGCCCAGUCCCGGCGACGGGAAGGAAAGUGCCACAGAAAGUAAACCGCCUGCCAAAGCAGGUAAGGGUGAAAAGGCGAGGUAAGAGCUCACCAGUCCCGCCGGUGACGGCGGGAGCUAGGUAAACCCCAUCCGGAGCAAGACCGAAUAGGGAGGCGUUAAGGAUGGUCCGUCCGUGCCUCCGGGUAGGUUGCUUGAUCCAGCCGGUAACGGUUGGACUAGAGGAAUGGUCGUCAUCCGUUCGGGGGUAACCCCGAUUGGAGACAGAACCCGGCUUACGGCCUUCUCCGACA